rnacentral:misc_RNA from 1 species
CUAGACUGCAAACCAAGUCUAAGGAAAAUUCCUUAGUUUCAAAUCAUCUACAAAGAGUAAGCAAGCAAGAAAUAGAAGAAAAGCAUUGUACAAAGAGUUUCAAUUGGCAAUAUCAUAGAGGACAAUAUCCCUAUUCCCUACUAGAAGUAUCAAGCAAGCAAUUUCUGUAACUCAUUAUGAGGAACUGCAUAUGCCACUAAAUUUGAGGCAGAGAGCUGUUCCUUUUCUUAUAUUACACCAAUUCAAUGUGAAAAAAUAAUCCACAAAAAGACACCAAUGAUCUCUAGCAAUAUUUUGGAAAAUAAGCAAUUCUCUUGCAGAUACAUGCUACAAGUAAGAAUAUACUCUACUAGUCACCAUCUUCCAUCCUAGACACAAGUUAAAAGAACAGCCAAAGGCUGCCAUAAAUUAAGCUUCAAGCACUAAGCAGGAUGCACCCAACAUUAGAAAUAUUCCCGGUACAAGUUUUCCACAAUCAAUGGGGAAAAACAUAGAAACCUGAAAUCUACUUCUAAAUUAAUGUAGAAUCUAAGUUCAACUCUUAGUUAUCACUAUCACUAUUGUUAUUAUCAUGAACAAUAUUGUUACCACUGAUGUGAUGAUUACUACCAUUUCCUCCCCUUCUACCGCGCUUCAAUUGCGAGAUUUCCAUCUGGGUCUUCAUGAAAAAUUGCAUCCUCUGCAAUUCCAGCUCUUUGGCAAACUUCAUCCUCGUCUUCUCCAUCUCUACCACUUGCUGCAACUUGACGCUCUCUGCCUGCUCAUAAGCUUCCCCAAACUUGAGUAUGGCUCGCGUCAACAUUCUAAUUGAAUUCCCCCACCCCUUCCUUUCCUUCACUCCCUUUGUAUUCACUCCUCUCUGCACCCCCCUUGGCUUCUUCUCCGGUGGCAAACUAUCAUCAGAGUCUGGAAAAUUCUCCUCCUCCUCCGAAGAUGACUCAGUCUCCACCUGAGUGCGUUUUCGAAACUGUGAUUUCACAUUCUGAUUCUUCGUGACUGGAUUGCUCCUCAUUUGCGCCUUACCUUGAUGCAACUGAUAUUGGUUAGACCCACUAGCUCCACCACUGCGAAUCCCAACAGGAAUUCCUACCGGGACUUUGCUAGACAAAGAAGCGGCAGCAGCGGUUGCAGUAACAGGGAUCUUGGCGGCUGGACCAAUUAACUGGUCCAACCGUUCGAAAAACGGCCACUUGCUCGGCCCACUACCCGCAGCAAUCUUCGCUUUCUCCAAUUUAUACUUCUUCUUCACCGUAUCGAUUCGGUUCUUGCACUGAAUAUCAGUCUUCGCGGCCUUCGUAUAGUCUUCUCUGCUACUCACAAUAUCAGCAACUUCCUUCCAGUGUUUCUGCUUCAGGUUCCCUCUGCUCAGCUCCAAAUACCUCUCCCCCCACGCGUCUAUUAGCACCGCCGUCGCUCCCUCGCUCCAGCAAUCCUCCCUUCCGCCGCCGUUGGUCUUUGGUUGCUGGAUCGGGAGAGUUAGCGAUAAAUUGUUGUUGUUCUGCUGUUGAGACGGCUGCUGCUGAAGAUGAGAAGACGGAGGAGCGGCGGCGACCGUUACCGUAAUUCUUCCGUUGGGUGGAGACGGCGACGGUGAUCCGGUGGCCGCCGAUGUGUGCGACUGGAUCUCCUCAUCAUCGUCCAUAGUGAAGUAGUUACAAAAAUCAACGGCUUAGAUCUGAUGACUCCGAUAGCAGGUAAGAAGGAAUAAACAAACAGGGAAUAAAGAGAAAGGGAGAGUGUGCGUAUAUAUUAGAAACGUUGACGGGAAAAUUUUGGGAGC